UAGAUGGUAUAGCCUACUGCACAGCUAGGCUACGUAGCAUAGCCUGUUGCUGCCAGGCUCCAAACCCAUACAGUAUGGAACUCUGCAGGCAACUGGAACACAAUGCAAACAGCAUGGCUUACUGAGUGUGGUGUCUGUGCCACUGCCCACAAAUCAAGGAAGAACUCUUUCAGGAUCAAGGAAGUUCAGUUAUUUAGGUGAAGAAGAAGAAAAGAGAAGAAGAAGGAG